rnacentral:antisense_RNA from 1 species
CUUCACCGAGCCGAGCUGGAGCGGCAGUUCGCGGUCCUGGCCGUAGGUGGCGAGGAGCGCGUUGGCCUC